rnacentral:rRNA from 1 species
UACGUAGGGGGCAAGCGUUGUCCGGAAUCAUUGGGCGUAAAGAGCGUGUAGGCGGUCCGGUAAGUCCGCUGUGAAAGUCGGGGGCUCAACCCUCGAAUGCCGGUGGAUACUGUCGGGCUAGAGUGCGGAAGAGGCGAGUGGAAUUCCUGGUGUAGCGGUGAAAUGCGCAGAUACCAGGAGGAACACCAAUUGCGAAGGCAGCUCGCUGGGACGUUACUGACGCUGAGACGCGAAAGCGUGGGGAGCAAACAGG